UCCUCUUCAACGCUGCGUUUCUAUGCUACGAACGGAGAGACUCGCGCAAGCGUUUCUUUCACAUCUUUCUACCAAGGCAUAUGAGAAAUUCGGAGAAAUCGCUUCACUUCAAGCCUUUUUUAAUCAUCAGGUCCACCUGGUGAUUUUUUGGCUCUACCGGCAACGGUCUGCGCGCGAUCCUCGCGUCUGUAAUUGGCAUCAGAAAAGCAGGGCGCUGGGCUUCCCUUGAUCGCUUGCGGUCGGGGGAUAGUUCCAGCGUUUCCUCUGGGAGGGCCAUUACGAAGCUUGUGAAUGAAAUCACUUGAGUGCAAUACGCAGCGUGCAUGCCCCCGUCCUUUCUUCCCCCUUUCGAGGGGGGUGGGAGAAUGAGGGACUGCACAAUUCGAUUCCGAUUACUCUGUUGAGGA
rnacentral:RNase_P_RNA from 2 species